UUCAUAACUAGUAUAAAAAGUGAAACAAAUGCUUCAAAACGGAUAGCAAUUGCAAGGAGUAGAAAUGUUUACAUAAGAAUCGAGUGUAAAAGUACAACUUCUUAAACUUUAUCCAUGUCAAAUUAUUCACAAUGUUUUGUGCAUAAUGAAGGUGUUCUGCUUCUGCCUACUGCAGGAGUUGAGAAAAGGCGGUAACUGCUUACCUCUCAUGUAAGCUACAGCCUAUGUGGUGUGUGGCAAGUCAUAUUAAUGACCAAGAAUGACUUACUUGUAACUUAAUUGUUAUGUGCUUUUAAUAUGUGUUUCAGGCAGUGGUGUUGCAUCUUUUAUAUGCAUGGUUGUCCUGAAGUCAUUCUGGAACAGGGGUUGUGUUCAGGUGCGUGACAACUGACAACAUUGAGAAGACCCAGGAGCGGGAGAAGGGCAGCCUGAUGAAAGAAGGCGACAGUGUUCUGUGGUCACACCUGAGAUGAUGGUCCUGAAGAGGAACGAGAGGAGAUACUGGGCAUAUAAAUACAGGCACUGGUCAUCACAGUGGAGGACAAUCAUGAAAAGGUUGAGGACUUCACUGUGCCCAUCCCUGAAGUCCCUCCACUCGGUGCAGCAGCUCUUUCCACCAUACUGCCAUGCUCUGGGUUGUCCCUGCCACCAUCCACCUUUUGGGUCAUCCGUGCCGCCAGCCAUCACCGUGCCUGCAGCGCCUGGGUCAUCCGUGCCACUCCCCACCAUGCUGCCAGCCAUCACUGUGCCUGCAGCACCUGGGUCAUCCCUGCCACCAUCCACCGUGCCUUCAACGUCCACAGCACCUCCGGUCUCUGUGAGCCAGUUUGCAGCUCUACUGGCCUCUCCAGUAUACAGUAUGCUGUAAUUGCUAAUGGUUUCUCUGAGUGGCCUGACCGGUUAAUUGUCCCGUAUCCCAACUAUUUACCACUAAACAAGUGAUUUUGUAAUAAGUAGGAGAUCUUUGCAAUGUUAUCAGUAUGGUUGGACUCUGAUGUUUCACUGCUGUAUGUCUUCCUCAAAGAGUAAAACGAAUUCUGAGUAUUCUUGGAUUUAGUCUUUGAAAAGUAGAGCAGCCCGUUUGUUUGAAACUGUUGUC